GAUGAACGCUGGCGGCGUGCCUAAUACAUGCAAGUCGAGCGAACGGACGAGAAGCUUGCUUCUCUGAUGUUAGCGGCGGACGGGUGAGUAACACGUGGAUAACCUACCUAUAAGACUGGGAUAACUUCGGGAAACCGGAGCUAAUACCGGAUAAUCUUUUGAACCGCAUGGUUCAAAAGUGAAAUACGGUGUUGCUGUCACUUAUAGAUGGAUCCGCGCUGCAUUAGCUAGUUGUUAAGGUAACGGCUUACCAAGGCGACGAUGCAUAGCCGACCUGAGAGAGUGAUCGGCCACCCUGGAACUGAGCCAGGGUCCAGGCUCCUACGGGAGGCAGCAGUAGGGAAUCUUCCGCAAUGGGCGGAAGCCUGACGGAGCAACGCCGCGUGAGUGAUGAAGGUCUUCGGAUCGUAAAACCCUGUUAUUAGGGAAGAACAUAUGUGUAAGUAACUGUGCACAUCUUGACGGUACCUAAUCAGAAAGCCACGGCUAACUACGUG
rnacentral:rRNA from 1 species